rnacentral:lncRNA from 1 species
CUAAUAGAUAUCUUGGGAACUUGCUUUGCUGACAAUAGUUUAGUCUUUUACAAUUGAUCAUUGUAUAAUAUUUUGAAGGAGGUCAGAACAACCUCCCUCUGGGGGCCAGGAGUAAACUCUUGCCCAAGUCAGCAUAACCAUUCCAGCAGCUAAGCAGACGCUCCCUGUAUUGUGAAGCCCUCAGCUAGCUGCAACUGCCAAAUCACGAUAUCCUAUUGUUCAACAUUUCAUGCUAGCCCCCUAUACGAUAAAAGGUGUUCCCCCAGCCAAGCUAACGCACCCCCCUUCUCUGGGGCAGCCCUAGCCGCGCUAGAAAUAAACGGUGAUCUUUUGCUUACUUGCAUUGUCUCUAUGUCUCCAUGUCUUCAUUCUUGGGGGAUUUUCUUGGACCCAACAUUUGGUGCAUUGGCCGGGAAUCCUUCACAAGUGGACUACUGGAACACAGACACCAGUUGCUUCUAGGGUAAAAGCACUCAUGGAAGUCACCCAGAUGCCACUGUAACCUCAGCAACUAUUCCAGCCUGAAGCCCUGGACCUUGCCUACAGUCAAUACCUGUCUCCUAACAAUAGGCAGGAACAGUUUCUAUGACCAUUCUCAGCUCUGAAGAAGCUACAGAAGACUGAGACCAUUGCACCUUUCCCCUAGAUAUUUGGAGAGGGGGCAGAUGACAUAGGCAUUGUACCACCAGAAACUCGGGCAGACUAUUGACAGGGGAAUUCUUCUGCUCCCUUGCAUCCUCGUGACUCCUAGUAUAAGGGUUCUUGCUUUUAUACUGAUCAUCCAGGGCUAGUUCCAUGCAUUCUUAAUUGUCUAGUAGCCUUUGUCAAGGAUCACAUUAAUACUGUUCAGCUAUGGUCCUUCACUAGCAAUAUCAAACUCUGACUUCCACUGAAUCCCCUUAUGAGGAUCGCAUGAGGGAGAUUCCUCAUGUACAGCAGAAGAAGUAGGGAAUGAAGGAAGUCAGAACAACUUCCCUCUGGGGACCAGGAGUAAGCUCUUGCCCAAGUCAGCAUAACCGUUCCAGCAGCUAAGCAGACACUCUCUGUUUUGUGAACCCCUCAGCUAGCCGCAACUGCCAAAUCAUGAUAUCCUAUUGUACAACAUUUCAUACUAGCCCUCUAUACUAUAAAAGGUGUUUCCUCAGCCAAUCUGGCACACCCCCCUUCUUUGGGGCAGCCCUAGCACGUGCUAGAAAUAAACGGUGAUCCUUUGCUUACUUGCA